rnacentral:lncRNA from 1 species
UAACUAUUUGCCUCUUUCUAGUAUUCCUCUUCCUGGAACAGGAGCCAAGACAUAUUUAGAGGGGUCUAAAGUUUCUUGGUAAAGUUUACGAUUCUAGCACAAAUCGAGAAGUUGUGUGUAUUGCAUGCAUUUCUUUUUUCUGGCACAUGGCUUAAUCGUUACACUCUGUGAGUCCUCAAGGACCCUCGCAGUUUCAACAUUUUGCGAAAUAUUCUCAAGCUUUAUGGCACCUUGGAAGAAACAAAAGCUUUACAGAGAAAAGGCUGGCUUGGCAGAGGGACCGGCUCCCUCCUCAAAUUACGGUUCUAUGUUCUGAAGCUUUGUUGGAUCCACAGUCGUGCAAACCUUCCACUCUUUCCCUCUCUUGGAGGAUCAAAUUUACAGUUCUCUUCUGGCUGUUCUUCAUGAUGGAGAAGAGCAAAGGCAAAGGCAAAGAAAUCGGAGAAAAACAUGGUUGAACUUUUCUUAACCCAGAAGUUAUUGCAGCUUUUACAUGAAAUUUCAAGCCAGAACUUCCAUGGGCGAGGCCGACUGCCUAUGCCUAGGAAAGCUCCCCGGACAGGAGUCUCCUCCACUGAGGUUCUGGUGGAAGGUGGCCAUUUCAAAUGAUGUCCAGGAAAUCUGACAUUGGGGCUCAGGCUCUGGCCUCAGCACCCCAUUAAUUAGUCUAACGUUCAUGGGUGUGACAGAGGCAGAAAAUAAAUCGUGUCUUUCAGUAGACCAGUGUUCUGCUGCUCUUGGAAUAGCAUUUUUCAUGGCGGUUUUGGGGAAGGAGAUGUGUGGGAAGACCCAUUGCAAAAAUAGCUACAGUCCUUAAACCCAUAGAGUUGGAAAGCAGAUUAGUGUUUGUCUUGGACUGGGGGUAUGGGGGAAAUUGGAGGGAAAUAGGAAGUGAUUGCUAAUGGGUAUGGAGUUUCUUUCUGGGGUUAAGAAAAUAUUCUAAAAUUGAUUGUGGUGAUGGAUGCACAACUCUGUGAAUAUACCAAAAACCAUUAAAUUGUACCCUUUAAAUGGGGGAAUUCUAUGGUAUGUGAAUUAUAUCCCAAUUUAAGCUGUUACAUUGAAAAGAAAAUAACCACAAUCCUUCAGUCUUUCUGUAUCUGUGCCUUUGCAUUGUGACUUUGCAGUUCUUCCCAUCUCUUUCCCCACCUGUUGACUCUGGGACACCUGAUGACUUUUGUUGGCCCAUGGGGUAUGGCCAAAGUGACCAUAUGCCAGUUUGGAACCUUAGUUCUUCAGAGGCCUUGCAUGCUCCUGCUAGCUCUCUUAUUUUGCUGUCUUUACUCUGAAAACUAGCCUGGGCUAGCCUGCUGGAAGAUGAGAGACCUGUGUAGCAAAGCUGAGUCAUCCCAGCUAUGUCCACCAUAGCCCACCUGUUAGUUGCCUUCAGAUACAAGAGAAAAAAUGGUUGCUGUUUUAUGCUAAGCACUGGGGCUAUUCUUUCUGCAGCAAUGGCUGACUGAUACAUAUGGCAAUCUCUCUGAGAUUCUAGAAAUGUAGGAGAAGAGUAUGCACAGCUUACUCUGGUUACCCACAAGGCCAAUAAUUUUGCUCAUAUUUUCAGUCUCUGACCAGAACUUUCCAAUGCUUUCAUUUUUCCUAUGAAACCUUCUUUCCUCUCCAUAGUAG